GGCACGAUGGUAGAGUGGUUAAUACGUAAGACUCGAAUAUUGCGAUAUCUUAUUCCUUCGGGAGCGCAGGUUCAAGUCCUGCUCGUGUCG
rnacentral:tRNA from 1 species